GAUGAACGCUGACAGAAUGCUUAACACAUGCAAGUCAACUUGAAUUUGGGUUUUUAACUUCGGUUUGGGUGGCGGACGGGUGAGUAACGCGUAAAGAACUUGCCUCACAGCUAGGGACAACAUUUGGAAACGAAUGCUAAUACCUAAUAUUAUGAUAAUAGGGCAUCCUAUAAUUAUGAAAGCUAUAAGCGCUGUGAGAGAGCUUUGCGUCCCAUUAGCUAGUUGGAGAGGUAACGGCUCACCAAGGCGAUGAUGGGUAGCCGGCCUGAGAGGGUGAUCGGCCACAAAGGGACUGAGACACGGCCCUUACUCCUACGGGAGGCAGCAGUGGGGAAUAUUGGACAAUGGACCGAGAGUCUGAUCCAGCAAUUCUGUGUGCACGAUGAAGUUUUUCGGAAUGUAAAGUGCUUUCAGUUGGGAAGAAACAAAUGACGGUACCAACAGAAGAAGUGACGGCUAAAUACGUG
rnacentral:rRNA from 1 species